rnacentral:rRNA from 1 species
CCACUAGAUGUUCUGGGCCGCACGCGCGCUACACUGAACAGUUCAACAAGUCUUAACCUUGGCCGAUAGGUCUGGGUAAUCUUUGAACGCUGUUCGUGAUUGGGAUAGACCUUUGCAAUUAUGGGUCUUCAACGAGGAAUUCCUAGUAAACGCAAGUCAUCAGCUUGCAUUGAUUACGUCCCUGCCCUUUGUACACACCGCCCGUCGCACCUACCGAUUGAAUGGUCCGGUGAAAUCUCGGGACGGCGGCUUGGUCGCUUGCGUCCGACUGCUGAAACUUGAUUAAACCAUAUCAUUUAGAGGAAGGUGAAGUCGUAACA